UUUAUUGUUAUUAUAACACGUAGGUAUGUUCAACAUUCAUAAUGAUGAUGGUCGAGUUUAUUCGAGUAAGGUGUUUAGGUGUACCUGGUAGCUAGGAUUCAGCCAUUAUAGAGUAAACUGGUUAAAUCAUGAUGGUCAGUCAAAAACCAACGAUGGUAUACCGCCUACGACAUAUAUUUUCCCAAUGCUGUUUCUAACCCAUCUGAAUAUCAUCACGUUCAAUAUGGAAGACUAAAUCAUUUUUUCUGUUACAUAACGUGAGUUCAGACGCAUACACACA